rnacentral:rRNA from 1 species
AUUGAACGCUGGCGGCAGGCCUAACACAUGCAAGUCGAACGGUAGCACAGAGAGCUUGCUCUCGGGUGACGAGUGGCGGACGGGUGAGUAAUGUCUGGGAAACUGCCCGAUGGAGGGGGAUAACUACUGGAAACGGUAGCUAAUACCGCAUAACGUCGCAAGACCAAAGUGGGGGACCUUCGGGCCUCACACCAUCGGAUGUGCCCAGAUGGGAUUAGCUAGUAGGUGGGAUAAUGGCUCACCUAGGCGAGGAUCCCUAGCUGGUCUGAGGGGAUGACCAGCCACACUGGAACUGAGACACGGUCCAGACUCCUACGGGAGGCAGCAGUGGGGAAUAUUGCACAAUGGGCGCAAGCCUGAUGCAGCCAUGCCGCGUGUAUGAAGAAGGCCUUCGGGUUGUAAAGUACUUUCAGCGGGGAGGAAGGCGGUGAAGUUAAUAGCUUCACCGAUUGACGUUACCCGCAGAAGAAGCACCGGCUAACUCCGUGCCAGCCGCCGCCGUAA